UCUUCAGCCUCGUUCCCCGGUAGUAUAAAGAUUGCUGUCUCCUUUGUUCGCCCUCGAUGCGCAGUAGUCCUAGCGUUAUUUCUUUUCUGGUCUGAAAAUCGGUAGCUGUCACUGGUGCAGCGCUGCUUGGAGGGUCCUGCCGGCGAUCUCCUAGAAGCGUGAGACCACUGCAGUCCCCUCGGAAGGCUCCCAUUGGUUGAAAAAAUGGUUGAAGCAGAUCGUCCAGGAAAGCUCUUUAUUGGUGGGCUUAACACAGAAACAAAUGAAAAAGCCCUUGAAGCAGUAUUUGGCAAAUAUGGACGAAUAGUGGAAGUGCUUUUGAUGAAGGACAGAGAGACCAAUAAGUCAAGAGGUUUUGCUUUUGUGACUUUUGAAAGCCCAGCAGAUGCAAAGGAUGCUGCCAGAGACAUGAAUGGAAAGUCCUUAGAUGGAAAAGCCAUCAAGGUGGAGCAAGCCACCAAACCAUCAUUUGAAAGUGGCAGGCGUGGACUACCUCCACCUCCAAGAAGCAGAGGCCCUCCCAGAGGUCUUCGGGGAACAAGAGGAGGGAGUGGAGGAGCAAGAGGACCCCCUUCACGUGGAGGACACAUGGACGAUGGUGGCUAUUCCAUGAAUUUUACCAUGAGUUCUUCAAGGGGUCCUCUUCCAGUAAAAAGAGGACCACCACCACGAAGUGGUGGUCCUCCUCCUAAAAGACCAGCCCCUUCAGGACCAGUCCGCAACAGCAGUGGAAUGGGAGGAAGAGCUCCAGUGUCUCAUGGGAGAGAUAGUUAUGGAGGCCCCCCACGAAGGGAACCCCUGCCUUCUCGAAGAGAUGUUUAUUUGUCCCCGAGAGAUGAUGGAUAUUCCACUAAAGACAGCUAUUCAAGCAGAGACUAUCCAAGUUCUCGAGACACAAGAGAUUAUGCACCACCGCCAAGAGAUUAUACAUACCGUGAUUAUGGUCAUUCCAGUUCACGUGAUGACUAUCCAUCCAGAGGCUAUGGUGAUAGAGACGGAUAUGGUCGGGACCGUGACUACUCAGAUCAUCCAGGCGGAGGUUCCUAUAGAGAUACAUAUGAGAGCUAUGGAACAGCUUGAUUGCAAAGGAGAAAAUAGAUAAGCAAUGAAGUUAUCUCCAACUUCCUAAAGGCUUAUGACUUCUAAAAAGUGAAUCUAUCAGCAUUCCACAUCAGAUUUAAAGCACCAAAUGCCUGUGAAACAGCAAAGAUGGUUGAACAUAAUGGUCAUAUGAUCAGGAAGUGCUGAUUGGUUCAUAGUAGAUAAAGCUGGCAGUAAGGAAAAAUCAAAUACUCAGAGUUGUUGAAGCAGAGGAAUGCUGAGACUAAGCUGCAGCAAUGUCAUAACCAGUGCUCAUCAAAAUUGGUUUGGAACAGGCAGUGGAAUUUUAUUUUGUUUUUUGUCUUGAAGGGAGGGAGGCAUUGGUGUCGAUUAAACCUUAUUUAGGGAGGGGUGAAUCACUUAAAUUGGCCAAAGGGAAAGAAGGAAACUGAUUGGUAAGUGGAGAUAUCUUCCCAGGAAGUUCUCAUGGCUUUUUGUAGAUUUAGUAAUUUAGGCAAAUAAUGGGGCAAUGAUGAUAACUGGCUAUAAGAAAAUUGAAUUAGCUGGGACUGUAACUCCAUGGUGGGGGGAGGGCUUCUAAGAUACCAGUGAGGCCUAGAGUUUGAUCCCUGGUACCACACAUAGGAAAAGAAAAGUCAAUCAGAAAAAUGAUACUUCAGUGGUAACUUUAUGCACUGAUGUCUGAUUUUUAACAAGAAAACCAUUUGGGGGAAUUGCCUUUUCAGGGAAAAAAAAAACAUUUUACUUGUCCUCUAAAACUUAUAAGAGGAAGAGCAAUGCUAGGAAAUGAAAGUAAAAACCGGAAACAUUGUUAAGAUAGUGGAAAGCAUACUGGAAAGAAAAGUAGGUCACUAGGUCACUAUAGUUUUAUAAAGGUACUUUACCCUCAGGUCUCAAUCUUGGAAACAAAUCAUUACACAACUCUAGUUUAUUGCUUUGGAAAUUAAGAGUCAGUAAUGUAAAUAUGGAUAUUUUCAGAGGAAACAGGUUGAGUUACAGGGUUAAAGGAGUUAAUUCAACUUCUAAGGGUUUUCUUAGAAAUUCAUUACAGUACAGUCAUGUUUAACAUUUAUACUUAGGGAAAAGGAUCCAAAACUUUUAACUCCAUUGGUCACAUUUCUCAUCAGAUCAUGAGGGUAUUGACCAAAUUUCAGUAGUUGUAUUUGAAUAAGCUAUGUUAACUCAAACCUUCCAUACUGUACUAAUUCCUUGAGUAGGUGCUUCUUUCAAGACCUUUUGGCUCUGAGAUUUUAUUUUGAUUUCUUAAAGAUAGUUUGGCAUAGGUUAUCCUACAGUAAAUAUGAAUGCUGAAUUCAAAAUAGGGAGUAGGUAGAAAUUAUCAAGAGACCAUUUUGAAAAAUGGUAAAGAUUAUAGACCAACAGGCCUAAAAUCUGUAGUUAAGAGAAAAAUUAUCUUUGAUUCUUCUGGCUAAACACUGCUUGUAAAAGAAUAAAGCAGAAAGUGUUGUGGUUUAUUUGGUAGUUGGAUGUUGAGCUUAGGUUUAUAUUGUAGAUCAUUUUUUGGAAUGUUUUGUAUUGAAACCCAAUAAAACUCGAACAUGCA